rnacentral:sRNA from 17 species
GUCAGCACCCCGCACUCUCCGUAGCAGGGCUAGGCUACGCCUCGCUGCGCGCCCGUGCCCCAGUUUCAGUUAGCUGACCCGCCUAAGUCUUAACUGACUACGUUUUUAGGGUUAUGACACCAACAAAUGCUUUCCAGUUUGUUGCUCCCUGUC